rnacentral:rRNA from 1 species
UUUACCUACGGGGCGCAGCAGUGAGGAAUAUUGGUCAAUGGGAGAGAUCCUGAACCAGCCAAGCCGCGUGAGGGAAGACGGCCCUAUGGGUUGUAAACCUCUUUUGUCGGAGAACAAAACCCGGGACGUGUCCCGGACUGCGUGUAUCCGAAGAAAAAGCAUCGGCUAACUCCGUGCCAGCAGCCGCGGUAAUACGGAGGAUGCGAGCGUUAUCCGGAUUUAUUGGGUUUAAAGGGUGCGUAGGCGGAUCGUUAAGUCAGUGGCCAAAUUGAGGGGCUCAACCCCUUCCCGCCAUUAAAACUGGC